CAGCAGGCGCGAAAACUUUGCAAUACACGAAAGUGUGACGGGGUCAUCCCGAGUGCCGACCGCUGAGGUUGGCUUUUACCCAGUCUAGAAGGCUGGGGGAAUAAGGAGAGGGCAAGUCUGGUGUCAGCCGCCGCGGUAAUACCAGCUCUCCGAGUGGUGUGGACGUUUAUUGGGCCUAAAGCAUCCGUAGCUGGCUGAACAAGUCCCCUGUUAAACCCACCGAUUUAAUCGUUGGUCUGCGGGGGAUACUGCUCGGCUAGGGGACGAGAGAGGCAGACGGUAUUCCCGGGGUAGGGGUGAAAUCCUAUAAUCCCGAGAAGACCACCAGUGGCGAAGGCUGUCUGCUAGAACGCGCCCGACGGUGAGGGAUGAAAGCUGGGGGAGCGAACCGGAUUAGAUACCCGGGUAGUCCCAGCUGUAAACGAUGCAGACUAGGUGUUUGGACGGCCACGUGCCGUUCUAGUGCCGCAGGGAAGCUGUUAAGUCUGCCGCCUGGGGAGUACGAUCGCAAGAUUGAAACUUAAAGGAAUUGGCGGGGGAGCAC
rnacentral:rRNA from 1 species